AGUGAACGCUGGCGGCAGGCCUAACACAUGCAAGUCGAGCGGCAGCGCGUCCGACCACCCUCGGGUGGUCGGAUGGCGGCGAGCGGCGGACGGGUGAGGAAUGCAUCGGAAUCUGCCUCGUUGUGGGGGAUAACGUAGGGAAACUUACGCUAAUACCGCAUACGACCUACGGGUGAAAGUGGGGGACCUUCGGGCCUCACGCGAUGAGAUGAGCCGAUGCCGGAUUAGCUAGUUGGCGGGGUAAAGGCCCACCAAGGCGACGAUCCGUAGCUGGUCUGAGAGGAUGAUCAGCCACACUGGAACUGAGACACGGUCCAGACUCCUACGGGAGGCAGCAGUGGGGAAUAUUGGACAAUGGGGGCAACCCUGAUCCAGCCAUGCCGCGUGUGUGAAGAAGGCCUUCGGUUGU
rnacentral:rRNA from 1 species